rnacentral:lncRNA from 1 species
GGUUCUCUGGUCUUAUUUCGAUGCCAUGUACAACAACCGGUCUUACUCUAUAACAAAAAUGAGGCUGCAUAGGAUGGGAAGUUUUUAAGGGUGUUGCCUCCUAUGGGAAGUUUUUAUGGGUGUUGCCUCUUAUUUGCAUGCCUGAUACUUCUGUAUUCUUCUACUGCCAGAGCAACAGCCGUAACUGAUCGAAUUUUGAGGAUGAGGAAUAGUUCACCAAGCUCGGUGGAGAAUUUGCUGUAUUAUCCUCAGUCUAAGCUAAUCUCUUUGUUAGUACUCCUCUGUAAGUGAAUCGUAACAGCACUGUUCUUUUAGUUGCAUACUUUGUUAGUACUCCUCAGUGGACUGUUAUCUAAUGUGGCAUGAUGCGUUGGCAUAAGGAAAGCUAGAUGCAAUAGCAGAUUCAGUCGGGAGAUGCCAUCUACUUUAGAAUGGUGCACCAGAUUUUCCAUGAAAGUAUUCAAGUGUUGCACUAGAAGUUUCAGCUGGUUGAUCCAUUCAUGUCUUGGAACAAUUUGUGCGAUCCUGUUUGUUGAGAAAGCAAAAUGCAAACUGAUGGUGCCUAAAGUACAUUGGGCGGGUCCUCCUAAGACUCUAUUCAAGAUCAACACAAAUGGGAGCUCAAACAGGAAACUGGGACUACGUGGAGGAGGUGGUGUUAUUAGAUCAUACACUGGAAUUGAUAGCAGCUUUUGCAUCAGCUUUCAGUAAAGGAACUACCAAUAGUGCUGAAUUUAAAACUAAUUGGAUCAAUGCUAAAUCAGACCCGCCAUUUGGAAUCUUAUCUCAGUAAUUGAAAGCAUUAAGGUAAGCUGAAGGUUUUGGAAUAUGUGCAGCUUCAACAUUGCUUCAGAGAAGCUAAUUUCACACUGAGUAAUGAAGGAUUGAAGUUUGCAGGACAGAUUUGGUAUGAUGAAUUUGAGCAGCUUCUAGCAAAACAAAGGCAGGCACAAAUGAUCUUAAUAGCAAGACAAAUGCGUUGGUUUUCGGAUUAGGCAAAUCAAAAGUAGUUUUUGUUGUAUACCAUGAAUUGUAUGUACAUCACAAUGGUGUAGGAAGUUAGAAAAUUUCUAAAGUUUAAGUAAACUAAUUCAGAAAGAUGUAAUUAGACUAAUUAUACAUACAAUUGUAUAUCCACACUUCAGAUCUUUGCACC